rnacentral:lncRNA from 1 species
UCGACCACUGGAUCCUCAACUCUGUCUCCUCGCCUAGCAUUAGCCUUACUCACAAUCUCAAUCAAUCAUCUCAUCUUUAAGCCUUUCUGAAAUGGUUAGAAAGGAAUAGCAAGGGUGAGCAACAAUGCUCAGCAAGUAAUAAUAAACAAUGAUAGUUCUGAAAUGAUAUAAUAGAAGUUCACGAGUUCAAGAUAUAAGAGGAUUCAACCUGAGUUCAUGAGUUGAUGGUAUUGUAUAGAAUGAUUCACAAUACCUUGCAGCAUUUAAACUGAGAAAUUCAAUCUUUCCAAAGAAUUAUUGAAUUGGACUAUCACAUUUUAAUUAAAACCAAGGUUAGGCAGCUGAUCAGUUCCGCACUAACCCCGAGCAGGCCCCGCCAUGCUCUAUUACUGGAUCCAAGGCACUCAUUGGCCUAACAUGACCACGAAUCUGGUCCACAGGUUUAUAUAAAAACAAUAAUCCAAUUCUCUAAUUCAAUUCAAGAAGCCAAUGUAAAUUAACAGAACAUCAUCAUAAAUAUCAUCAACAACGGAAUAAUUCCAAAUCAAACUUUGAUAAUAAACUUUCCAUGAGUCACCGUCCAUCCAUCCAUAAAUCAGAGUUCAGGAAAUCCCUAACUAUUCAAUAUCCUCCAUUAUCGGCUAAUCAACUGAAUUUAGCCUGCUAGACCAGCAUGACAAUGGCGGGUUGAAUAAUCAAGAAGAUCCCAAUUCAUUCAAAGCUCUAACUAUCACUGAGCAACACAUGCUUCAAUGACAAUCUGAACUUCGAAUUAAUUUGUAAAACGGAAAUUAUCUGAAUUUUUGAGGAUUAGAAAAGGAUGGAUAAAAAUAUUUGCACUUGCCAAAUAUGAAAAAGAGAGGAACGAAUAUUUGCAACACAUACGAAAAGAAUGGAUCAGAAUAAUCGCAAGAUAUCCAAAAGAAGGGUAUAGGAUACUUGCCUUAAAUCUGACUCCAGUCUCACAUCUCAAUCUCAUCUUUCCACUUUCACAAUCUAUGCAUCUCAUAGUCUCUAGACCAUCUCUGGCUAUACUCUAUCUACCGUACAUCUUCGCUUCGCUUACUCGAUUCAUCCCUUAUUCGCUUUGUAACACCACGUGACUUUCUGAACGUCUUCGGGCAUACACGUCUCGUCCAAAUCCUUUACGAGAAUAAGAUAACACUAUAAUCACUAAACAAUCGAUCGCAUAUACAUCUCACGUAUAUCGAUACCCACUUAUAUAUCCCUUUAAACUUAUCAGAUACCACGUAACACAUAAGCAUGCUUUAACUCUAACAUAUAGUCAAUCAUAUUCCACAUAACAUAUCACCAAUCAAUUAUCAUAUAAAUCCUUAUCGAAAAUCCGACAUCGUCUCGUCUAUGUAUAAGACUAUCCACCUAUUAUCCUAUCUCAAUCAUUAAUCAACCAACAAAAUCCAAUAGCUAUAAUCCAUAUAUUCUUAUCCAAUAUCAAUCAUACGAAUCAUUUAUCACUUCACAAUAUCAAAACUAACACGUACUUCACAUAAUCAUCACUUGAUAGCACUUAGAUCACAUAUUAUCACAUUAUGCAUACUUAUCAACAAUUAUUCACCUUAUAGACUCAGCCAUAUAGUCACAUCAUAUUAAAAUAGACGUUAUAAGCUUCUGUCUCUCUUUCGUUUCACUUGAUUCCGACUUACGGAUCAAAAGUUAUGCUCAAAACAGUUUUCUCACUCUCCUAUCGGCACAUAACACAUCCAACCAAUAGCAGACAACACACAACACAUAAGGUUUCCCAUCCCAAUUGAUAUUAAAUCAAGUCUUGGGUUAAAAAUGAUUUUUCGGGAAUUUUCCAGAAUUUUUAAACAUUUUUCGGAAUUAAAAUCGAUAAAAGAAUCACUUUUCGAAUAAAUAAUCAAGUCCCAAAUACUUGAAAUUGGACUUGAAAUCAUUCAUAAACAAUUAUCGAGCCUUGAAAAUAAUUUGGAAAAAUAUUUUAAAGCUCGAAACUAUUUUUCGGAAUUUUUAAAUCAAAAAGGAUAAUUAAAUCCAAUUAAUUAAUCAAUUAAAAUCAAUUAAUAAUUAAUUAAAAUAAUUAAUCAAUUAAUAUUUAAAUUAAUUGACCAAUUAAAAUAAUUAAUUACUAAUUAAAAUUAAUUAAUAAAUCAAAUUAGAUUUAUUUUUCAAUAAAGAGAUAAUUAAAAAGCAUUUUUGAAUUUAAAAUCAAUAAUUUUCGAAUUUAAAAUAAAUAAAUAAAAUGUUUUUGAAAAGAUUUAAAACUCCAGGGUUCACUGUGCAAACUUUAUGAAACCUGGGGGGUCAAACAGCAAAAUGCCGUCUUCCUCCCCCCCGUCUCGCCGGAACGGCGUCGGAAACCGACCGGCGAGUCACAGACUGCCCAGACGGCACCCAAACACUGCAGAUACACUCUACGCUUUCCCAUAAACAUAUUUACAAGCUUCGUUUUUGCAGGAGAUUAGCGAACUGGCCGGAAAAUCGACCGAAAGCUUCGCCGGCGGCGAGCUUUCGUCGACUCCGAGGGCCUCAUACACGGCUCCUCCGUCAAUUCCAAACCCAGUCGUACACUCCUCUUCUCAUCCUCUAUCCAUUCAUGUAACCCACUACUGCCCAGACUCCCUGGAUCAAUUUUCCGGUCAAAACUCAUAACUUUCCGGCCAAAUACUCAAGAACACCAAGAACACUCAAACCCACGAAUCAAACUGACUUUUCAAGGUGUUAUUGAACUCAAAAAUUGACAUAUAAUAUACCAAAACGACGAGAAAAACAUGCUCUACAUCAUAGAAUCAUCAAAACAAUCAAACAACCACGUUUGCAAAAAUUCACUAUUUAAAACAUAAUACUUCGAAUUUUAAACCUUCAAUUACUCCCUACCUGUGAAUCUCAUGUUGUUUUUGAUCAUUGAUAUGGAUUCUACUCCUCGAUAUCUUCGAUUUGACUAUUCGCACGCUUAAUUCUGACUCCAAUAACACCUUCAAAUCUUCGUUUGAUUAUGAAGAACACGAAGAACACUGCUCGGUUUCUCUCGGUAUUCGUGCAGAGAAACUGGUGAAAAUGAUUUACGGUUGAAAAUAAGCUCUAGAAAGGUAUAUUUAUAUUUACAAAUAAUUGGUACCCCUUUGGAUCGUUUAUGACAUGAAAAUACGUAUUUAAUAGCUUUAUAUUAAGAAAGUGGGGUCCAAUCGGUACUAGUUUUCGAGAUAAUCAUCAAAACGGGGCUUUUUAACUCAAUUAUUGGUCUGCGGGUCCCACUGCAAUUAUUACA